rnacentral:rRNA from 1 species
CAGUCGCCGCGGGAAUACGAAGGGUGCAAGCGUUACUCGGAAUUACUGGGCGUAAAGCGUGCGCAGGUGGUGGUUUAAGUCCGUUGUGAAAGCCCUGGGCUCAACCUGGGAAUUGCAGUGGAUACUGGGUCACUAGAGUGUGGUAGAGGAUAGUGGAAUUUCCGGUGUAGCAGUGAAAUGCGUAGAGAUCGGAAGGAACAUCUGUGGCGAAGGCGACUAUCUGGGCCAACACUGACACUGAGGCACGAAAGCGUGGGGAGCAAACAGGAUUAGAUACCCGCGUAGUCCCUGUCUCUUAUAC